CCCUUAGAUGUUCUGGGCCGCACGCGCGCUACACUGAUGCAUUCAACAAGCCUAGCCUUGACCGAGAGGUCCGGGUAAUCUUUGAAACUGCAUCGUGAUGGGGCUAGAUUAUUGCAAUUAUUAAUCUUCAACGAGGAAUGCCUAGUAAGCGUGAUUCAUCAAAUCGCGUUGAUUACGUCCCUGCCCUUUGUACACACCGCCCGUCGCUCCUACCGAUUGAAUGUGUUGGUGAGGAGCUCGGAUUGGCAGCAGUUGGUGGUUCGCCACCGGCUAUUGCUGAGAAGUCCUCCAAACCGCCCCAUUUAGAGGAAGGAGAGGUCGUAACA
rnacentral:rRNA from 1 species